ensembl:lncRNA
UGUAUUUCUUGCCCAAACUCCCUUUUACAGCACUUCUGAGAACAUAGGUCCCUUAGAGCAAGAUGCAAAUCAAUUGCUGUAUUUGAGUGGGAAGCCAUUGAUAUCUAUUUAGAGGGGCCUUGAGUUAGCUGAACAGAAACACUGAACACAGGCACGUUGCUGCAGGCUAAUCCCUUCCAUGAUGUGAGUGUGCUUGGUGCCUUCAAAUCCAAAACCCAAAUUCCUACUGGAAGGCAUUUUCAAUACUGUCACUUUGGAUUUGGACUUACAGACUCAGAUCUCCUUGUGGAAACCAUCUCAAAGUUUCCUGUCAAGAAUUGAGUAGUGUUGAUUCUUUUUCCUUACAAAAGAAAGAUGGUUCCAUCACCCAUUUUCUUUAUUAAAAUAUAAUAAUUCAGGGCACUUUGAAAAUAAAAGAAAAUUCAGUGCAGUCAGCAUACUGCAAGAUCUUUGUAUGGCAACUUGAACAACCAGCAAAAUCUUCUACUGGUUACAAUCGAGAUUAUCUGCAUCUAUCCUGAAGAUGUCCUCUAAUCUUAGUAGUCUCUUUGUUUUUAUGUCACCACAACUGGUGCUUUAAAGGCCAAUAAAGUUACUGGGAGAUGGUUCAGUGACUAAAAGCACUGUAGUUAUCUUACAAAAUGAAUCUGUAAAACGAACCUGAACUUUUCCAAAUACCCUAUUAAAACUGCUCUAUAGAUUAAAGGCUGUGUGAACCACUAUAAGGGAACAGUUACAUCAUGGCCUGGACUGAUGACUGAGCACCAGGUGAGCAGGAUGACUGGCCCAGGAAGCACAAGUGGAAGCAAUUCACCUGUUCUUACCACAUGACUGAAAGGAGUGGACUGACCUGUGAGUCUCACCAGUCUCACCUCGGGAAGAUCGUGGAACAGAUCCUCCUAGAAGCUAUGCUAAGGCACAUGGAAGGCAGGGAACUGAUAUGGAAGAACCAGCAUGGCUUCACCAGGGGCAAAUCCUGUUUAACCAAUCUGGUGGUCUUUUGUGAUAGUAUCAUUGCAUGAAUGGACAAGGGAAGGGCCAUUGAUAUCAUCUAUUUUGACUUUAAUAAGGCCUUUGACACAGUACCUCACAACACCCUUCUCUCCAUGUUGGAAAGAUAUGGAUUUGAUGGUUGGACUGUUUGAUGGAUGAAGAACUGGCUGCAGAAUCGAGUCCAGAGCAUGUCCACAGAAGAGCUACAGAAAUGAUCCAUGGAAUGGAACACCUUCCCUACGAGGACAGGCUUAGAGAGCUGGGGCUGUUCAGCCUGGAGAAGAGAAGGCUGCAAGGUGACCUGAUAGCAGCCUUUCAGUUUAUAAAGCUGAUAUCAAGCUAACUGCCUUAGAUGUAAUGGACUCUGCCAGCGGAUCAGAAAAUAAAAACAACGGAAGAGAAGAAAGAUGCCAAAUGUUUUUGAGGUACUCUCCAGCAGUGAAAUGAAUGAUUUUAGUCAAAUGUGCAUUGUGGAUGCUGGAUGGAUACGGUAAGAACACUGUUUGUUCAGUCCUGACUGGUUUCUUUCAGAACCAUCUUCCACUCCCGGAGGAAGUGCUGUUUUGCUGAUGGAAAAAAUAGGUUGCUGUUUACCUUGACAGGGAGCAUCUUCUGUUGUGAUAAACAUACACCCCUAGGUCCUGGAAAGACGAUCUCUCUCCUACUGCUCUCCAGAAGGGUGUGGAUAAUUUAGUUGUCCAUAGAAGAACAGAUCUACUUUUGGUGCACCCUGAUAAUACAUCUGCAGUCAUGAGCAAUGCUGAUGUGUUCCAUCAGUGACAGCUUGAGAAUCAAGCUCACAGCCGUUGCCAACACAGCUGCCAAAUGACAGCUAAUGCCUGGUGUGACAUCUUUGCUUAAUGACACCUGUAUGUAGAACGAAGCCAGUGACCACUACUUAAUUGCUGUAAUCCUCAGUUACAUUCCCCCAGGAAUUUAUUCUUUAAAGCAGAACAAACAAACAAUAACUAACAUAUUUUCUCCAUAGGCAGUGUUGUAAAAAUAGACUUUUCCCAUAGGUAAACAAUUCUUUCAAAUGACCUGAUGGUUUAGACAAUUUUUAUAGCAUUAAGAUUGUCAUAUACUGAAUUCACAGAAGUUUGGGCAAGACAGUCUAAGGUUUCCUUGAUUUAGUGAUCUACAAUAAAAACAGCUGGUGCUGUCAUUAGCUUUCUUUAUACAUUCCCUUCUGUGCAGGGUGAUUAUUUAUUUAUUUAUUUAUUGCUAUAUGCUGAAAUGUAGCCUAUAUAAA